AAGAAGUCAGGCCAGAUUAAGCCAUAGUACGGAAAGAGCUAUGCUGCCUGUGAGCCCCGUCCAAGGACGUUAAAUGAAGUCAGGCCGAAAGCCACGGCUUGAGCAAACCGUGCUGCCUGUGGCUCCAU
rnacentral:lncRNA from 1 species